UUGUGCGAGUGUGUUUCUGUGUCCGUCCGACGACGUAAAUCCUCCAAAUCAAAGCAAUGCCACGUGUGACCGUGGGCUGCCGGAGGAGGGGCGCAUCCGCGUGUCUGUUGAAUAAAUUUAUGGACCAGAUGAGAUUGGCUACCGGGGCAGAAGCGGCAUCACAAACCGCACAGACAUCAAAUAGGUUUCAUUUUCCGGUAGAUUGUACUCGAGUACUGUUUACGCCAGUUUUACGAUAGCCCGCAGGGGACCGUUCUACCACCCCGCCAGCUUACCCUUUCGAGGGGUUUCGCAGCGAAGCGCGAAAGACGCUGGCCUGAUCCGGUCCCGGCAUCUCGGGUAUCCGGGCUCGGGAUGCGCUAGGACGAUGUUCUGCGGCUUGGCCCUGGGUGUGGAUGGUGCGUCUGUGGUCUGCUGCUGGCUCUUCUCUUGCGGGAGGCAAUAAAAGCGGGGAUCGCACAUACGAGAACGGCGCUACGAUUACAAAAAAUAACAAAACAGCAGUGGAAGCUGCCCGUGUUAAAAUGUGCGCACGGAAUGGGGCGGAUUUAAACCGGCCGCACGUGAAGACUCCGGCGGAAAGGGAGUCCAACAUCCAACCGACUGUGGUUUUGUUGGUCGAUUGGGUUGGGAGAGUAAAACAAAACGCCUCGCCGAUGGAGCUGACUCAGGACAUCACGGUUACAGUAUGUGUCAUUCAUUUGAACAAUAUUUUUCAUUUUAGUUCUAGUUCUAUUAUAGAAUUUUAGAAUUUUAUACUUUAUCUAAUCACAAUUUGACCAAUAAUUUAUUUCAUCCUAACUGCUACAGGUA